CUUUGAUUACAGCAACAAUAACAUCACCAAUACGAGCAUAUCGCUGAUUACCAGCAGCUCCUAUGGCUCGAAUACACAUCAAUUUUCGAGCUCCACUAUUAUCUGCUACAUUUAAAAAGAUCGGAAGAGCCACG